UACGUAGGGUGCAAGCGUUUAAUCGGAAUUACUGGGCGUAAAGCGUGCGCAGGCGGUUUUGUAAGUCAGAUGUGAAAUCCCCCGGGCUUAACCUGGGAACUGCGUUUGAAACUACAAGGCUAGAGUGUGACAGAGGGGGGUGGAAUUCCACGUGUAGCAGUGAAAUGCGUAGAGAUGUGGAGGAACACCGAUGGCGAAGGCAGCCCCCUGGGUUAACACUGACGCUCAGGCACGAAAGCGUGGGGAGCAAACAGG
rnacentral:rRNA from 1 species